UACAGAGGUGGCAAGCGUUGUUCGGAAUUACUGGGCGUAAAGGGCGCGUAGGCGGCCAUCUAAGUCAGACGUGAAAUCCCCCGGCUCAACCUGGGAACUGCGUCUGAUACUGGGAGGCUAGAGUUUGGGAGAGGGAUGUAGAAUUCCAGGUGUAGCGGUGAAAUGCGUAGAUAUCUGGAGGAAUACCGGUGGCGAAGGCGGCAUCCUGGACCAAUACUGACGCUGAGGCGCGAAAGCUAGGGGAGCAAACAGG
rnacentral:rRNA from 1 species